GAGCUAACUGAGUUUUCUGGGAAGACCUAUGAUGGUACUUUACAGCUAUGCAGAAAAGGAAAACUUCCUGCCAAUGAGCCCCAUCCAAAUGAACAAGUAAACUACAAGAACAGUUGCCUGGCAGGUAAAUAAAAGUGGAGAUGUUUGGCUUUCAUACUUUAGUUGUAUUUCAUUUACUGAAACCGAUUUAAUUAUUUAUUUUUAAAUAUUGAAAACUCUCAACCUGAGGUGAACAAACAGAGGAAAAAAAUUCCACCAAGACAGAGAAAUGAGAAGCUAGUGUUCUGUAACAUGGCUAUAAAUCUGCCACCAAAUAACACAGGAAUACUUAGGAGCUUGAUCCUGUAAAGCUCUGCCCUACAAGAGGAGUCUUGCUCAGGCAAGUAGGUGCAAUGCAGUCAAGCCAGAGCAGGUAUUUCUAUUGUUUAUCUCUGAAUAAUAUUAAGCAGUGGAGAUAUUAUGGAGCCAUGCAGAUGGGGGGGAUUCCGUAGCCAGCUGCUGCCCUUCAGAAUCCCUUUCAAAGGGAUUCUCUCUUGGAGGAAGUGGUGGUGGGACACCA